CAGUCGCCACGGGAAUACGUAGGUGGCAAGCGUUGUCCGGAAUUAUUGGGCGUAAAGCGCGCGCAGGUGGUUUAAUAAGUCUGAUGUGAAAGCCCACGGCUCAACCGUGGAGGGUCAUUGGAAACUGUUAAACUUGAGUGCAGGAGAGAAAAGUGGAAUUCCUAGUGUAGCGGUGAAAUGCGUAGAGAUUAGGAGGAACACCAGUGGCGAAGGCGGCUUUUUGGCCUGUAACUGACACUGAGGCGCGAAAGCGUGGGGAGCAAACAGGAUUAGAGACCCCAGUAGUCCCUGUCUCUUAUAC
rnacentral:rRNA from 1 species